rnacentral:rRNA from 1 species
CGAACGGUAGCAGGAAGUGCUUGCACUUUGCUGACGAGUGGCGGACGGGUGAGUAAUGCUUGGGAACUUGCCUUGAGGUGGGGGAUAACAGUUGGAAACGACUGCUAAUACCGCAUAAUGUCUACGGACCAAAGGGGGCUUCGGCUCUCGCCUUGAGAGAGGCCCAAGUGAGAUUAGCUAGUUGGUGGGGUAAAGGCCUACCAAGGCGACGAUCUCUAGCUGUUCUGAGAGGAAGAUCAGCCACACUGGGACUGAGACACGGCCCAGACUCCUACGGGAGGCAGCAGUGGGGAAUAUUGCACAAUGGGGGAAACCCUGAUGCAGCCAUGCCGCGUGUGUGAAGAAGGCCUUCGGGUUGUAAAGCACUUUCAGUUGUGAGGAAAGGUUGGUAGUUAAUACCUGCCAGCUGUGACGUUAACAACAGAAGAAGCACCGGCUAACUCCGUGCCAGCAGCCGCGGUAAUACGGAGGGUGCGAGCGUUAAUCGGAAUUACUGGGCGUAAAGCGCACGCAGGCGGCUUGUUAAGCUAGAGGUGAAAGCCCCGCGCUCAACGUGGGAACUGCCUUUAGAACUGGCAGGCUAGAGUCUUGGAGAGGGGAGUGGAAUUCCAGGUGUAGCGGUGAAAUGCGUAGAUAUCUGGAGGAACAUCAGUGGCGAAGGCGGCUCCCUGGCCAAAGACUGACGCUCAUGUGCGAAAGUGUGGGUAGCGAACAGGAUUAGAUACCCUGGUAGUCCACACCGUAAACGCUGUCUACUAGCUGUUUGUGAAUUUAAUUCGUGAGUAGCGAAGCUAACGCGCUAAGUAGACCGCCUGGGGAGUACGGCCGCAAGGUUAAAACUCAAAUGAAUUGACGGGGGCCCGCACAAGCGGUGGAGCAUGUGUUUAAUUCGAUGCAACGCGAAGAACCUUACCUACACUUGACAUGCAGAGACUUUCCAGAGAUGGAUUGUGCCUUCGGGACUCUGACACAGUGCUGCAUGCUGUCGUCAGCUCGUGUCGUGAGAUGUGGUAGUCCCGCACGAGCGCACCUUGUCUAGUGCAGCAUAGUGGCACUCUAGGAACUGCGGUGACAAAUCUCUAAAGAAUCCCGGGUACGGAGUCGAAUCGUAUCAUGGCAUAACUGUUUCCUGGGUGAAUGUUAUCCGCUCCAAUCCACACACCACAGACCGAGCCUACGGUAGGACGGGGGGCUAUGAGGGGGCACUCACUUAUUUGGGUGGUUCAGUGACGCCCUCUUAUUCGGGAAAAAAGCAUUGAGUGGACUGCU